GAUGAAGAACGUAGCGAAAUGCGAUAAGUAAUGUGAAUUGCAGAAUUCAGUGAAUCAUCGAAUCUUUGAACGCACAUUGCGCCCCCUGGUAUUCCGGGGGGCAUGCCUGUUCGAGCGUCAUUUCACCACUCAAGCCUCGCUUGGUAUUGGGCAUCGCGGUCCGCCGCGCGCCUCAAAUCGACCGGCUGGGUCUUCUGUCCCCUAAGCGUUGUGGAAACUAUUCGCUAAAGGGUGUUCGGGAGGCUACGCCGUAAAACAACCCCAUUUCUAAGGUUGACCUCAGAUCAGGUAGGAAUACCCGCUGAACUUAAGCAUAUCAAUAAGCGGAGGA
rnacentral:misc_RNA from 1 species